AUUGAACGCUGGCGGCAGGCCUAACACAUGCAAGUCGAGCGAGCAGCGGCCGGGUAAGUACUGUUUGGUAAACAGCCUGUUGGCGGGGGACACCUACUGGAAACGGUAGCUAAUACAGCAUACCAUCAGAUCUGCCCAGAGUGGCUUAGCUAGUAGGUGGGGCAACGGCUUACCUAGGCGACGAGCCCUAGCCUGUCUGAGAGGAUGACCAGCCACACUGGAACUGAGACACGGUCCAGACUCCGACGGGAGGCAGCAGUAGGGAAUAUUGCACAAUGGGCGAAAGCCUGAUGCAGCAAUGCCGCGUGUGUGAAGAAGGCUUUCGGGUUGUAAAGCACUGUCAGCGGGGAGGCGUUACCCGAAGAAAAAGCACCGGCUAACUACGUGCCAGCAGCCGCGGUAAUAC
rnacentral:rRNA from 1 species